CCCCAGACUCCUACGGGAGGCAGCAGUGGGGAAUAUUGCACAAUGGGGGGAACCCUGAUGCAGCGACGCCGCGUGGGCGAGGAAGUAUUUCGGUAUGUAAAGCCCUAUCGGCAGGGAAGAAGAAAUGACGGUACCUGAAUAAGAAGCACCGGCUAACUACGUGCCAGCAGCCGCGGUAAUACGUAGGGGGCAAGCGUUAUCCGGAUUUACUGGGUGUAAAGGGGGCGCAGACGGCGAUGCAAGCCAGGAGUGAAAGCCCGGGGCCCAACCCCGGGACUGCUCUUGGAACUGCGUGGCUGGAGUGCAGGAGGGGCAGGCGGAAUUCCUGGUGUAGCGGUGAAAUGCGUAGAUAUCAGGAGGAACACCGGUGGCGAAGGCGGCCUGCUGGACUGCAACUGACGUUGAGGCUCGAAAGCGUGGGGAGCGAACAGGAUUAGAUACCCCGGUAC
rnacentral:rRNA from 1 species